ACGCCGCAGACGCCUCCCUCCCGUUCCUCUUCCGGGCGCGGGUGCACACCUCCGCCGCCCCCUUCCCGAUUCCCCCCAAAUCCAAGCAAUGGAGCGAGCGGUCGCCAAGGAUUCCGCGCUGCCAGCACUGGCUCCUCCCUCCCGUACGGCCCCGCGCCGCAGCGCGGCGCCAUUCGCCACCUCCGCCUCGCCUCCCCUUGCCGCCGCUGCAGGGGGUCCUCCUGCUCGUCCUCCCUCCUCGAGGAUCCAAACCCUAACGAAGGGGUCCGAUCGAUGGGGGGAGGAAGGAGGCGGCGUCUACAACGAUGGACGCCGUCGCUGCGUGGUCGUCGCACGUCUGUAGGUCCGCGGGGACUGCGCGUUACGCCUCUCCGCGUGGCCGCGGCACGGCUGGAGGACCACAGGUCCACAGCGACGGCGUGUGACGACCCCACCACCUUGCCGUGCCGUCUCCACUGGCCAUAAAUCUGUAAGACUGUAAAAGUCUGAUUCCUGACCAGGAGUAGGAUCACUGGUGAAUGGAAGAUGUGCUUUCAGGAUCUAUCUAAUCAGGCAACAGUCUGACAGUUUCGGAACAGGCUCCUAGUUGAAGCAAAAUGGAGACCUUUUUGCAUGAACCUGUUCAUGUUUUUUCUAUUUGAACCCGAGCGUCUUAUCACAGAUGGCUUGUGUAAUAUUCCAUCACAUGGUUCCUUACUUUCUCAUUCAGUUACUGGAGUAAGUCAUGGACAUUACGGAAUGGCAAGCCCGGUCCCGGUAAAGAUUCCAUCAGGGGAAAAGGGUUCAGUUUGUGGUAGUUGAGUUGAACGUCCUCCUUUGAUACGGACCUACGAGAUCCCAGUGGCGUUGUCCUCCCAUCCACCAGAAGGCUAUGGCCACAGCAAGCAAGCAAGCGGCGGCGCACAGGGGGCGGCGGCAACGAGCAGGGGAAGGCGUGGCCGGCGGGCGCAGCGGCGGUAGGCGCAGGCGGCAGCCAACGGGUGUUGGCAUGCGCAAGCGGCGGCUGGCGGCGGCCUCCAUCAAGCGCGUAGGCGGUGGACAGCACGGGCACGGUGGAGUCCCUAUAUUUUUCAGGCUGGCACGACAAGAAAGUAGGCCUGUGGGCUCGUGCUUGGUCCGAGAACUCGGCACGGCACAGCCCGUUAGCAUGAUUCCAUGUUUCUAAUGGCACAUAUUCGCCGAAGUUUUUUUUCCUGGUUCAUUGAAGUUCCGAGGAGCCGCCAUCAGUGAAUAUGGAUCAAUGCUUGAUUAAUCAACAAUGUUGAGAACUUGAGAUACAAGUUUGUUGUGGUGACCAAUAACAUAACGUCCCCUCUUGCAUGUUUUAUUGUAAGUUUGCAUUUGAUUUGCUCCA